AGGACGAACGCUGGCGGCGCGCUUAACACAUGCAAGUCGAGCGAGAACCUGGCCUUCGGGCCUGGGGAAAGCGGCGAACGGGUGAGUAACACGUGGGUAACCCACCCUUGGUACUGGGAUAGCCCGGGGAAACCCGGAUUAAUACCGGAUGGCCCAACAGCUCUUCGGGGCGGUUGGAAAAGGAAGCUUCGGCCUCCGACCAAGGACGGGCCCGCGGCCUAUCAGCUUGUUGGUGGGGUGAUGGCCUACCAAGGCGGUGACGGGUAG
rnacentral:rRNA from 1 species